rnacentral:rRNA from 1 species
UACGUAGGGUGCGAGCGUUAAUCGGAAUUACUGGGCGUAAAGCGUGCGCAGGCGGUUUUGUAAGCCAGAUGUGAAAUCCCCGGGCUUAACCUGGGAAUGGCAUUUGGGACUGCAAGGCUGGAGUGCGGCAGAGGAGACUGGAAUUCCUGGUGUAGCAGUGAAAUGCGUAGAUAUCAGGAGGAACACCGAUGGCGAAGGCAGCCCCCUGGGCUGAGAUUGACGCUCAGGCACGAAAGCGUGGGGAGCAAACAGG